rnacentral:misc_RNA from 1 species
AACGCACGAGACCUGCGGACCUGCGGAGGGAUCAUUAUCGAGUUUUGACUGGGUUGUAGCUGGCCUUACGAGGCAUGUGCACGCCCUGUUAAUCCACUCUACACCUGUGCACUUACUGUGGGUUUCAGAUCGUGAAUUGGGCCUACGGGCUCGUGAAACGCAUCUGUGCCUGCGUUUAUUACAAACACUAUAAAGUAUCAGAAUGUGUGGGUUGCGAUGUAACGCAUCUAUAUACAACUU